AUAAUUUAUUGCUCAAGCUUUUGUAUGCUGUAAUUGAUUAUUUGAAAGGUACUAAGAAUAAAGACUUGGCUGAAGAUGACAAAAUCAAGUAAUGGUAGCAAUCCAAGUUUUUUGAAAUUUAUUCAUCAAGGUUAGAAUUAAUAUCAAUUGAUAUGAUGCUUUAAAUCUCUCAUGGAGUAAGAAAAAAAUUCAAUGUUGUCAAGAUAGUUUAUGUUUAUAUUGUAGAGAAGCUAAGUACACUGUUCAACAUUGUCCAAAGAAGCAAUACAAUUAUAAAAUGAUAAGCACAAUAACCAAAGAAGAUAAUGUAUCAAAAAAUAAGUUUCUCCAAUUAUAAUAUAAACCGUGCGAU
rnacentral:lncRNA from 1 species